rnacentral:rRNA from 2 species
UUUUGGGCUUAGUUGGCUGUGGAGCACUUGAAAACUCAACAGCAAAGCAUGCUCAGUGUGACUAGUACUAGGAUGGGUGACCUCAUGAGAAGUAUGCACUAGAGCAACCA